rnacentral:miRNA from 1 species
UCCGAUCCAAGAUAGAGUUUC